AAUAAAAACAAAUUAAAACAUAACAGAAUAUGAGAGAACAAAGAUCCAGGCGAGAAUUACAUAACUCAACAAUGUUCGACCACACGGCAGAAAUUGUCCAUCUGAAAACCCGUCAGACUGUAGACAUGUUCAACUAACGGAAUAAUCCGUCCAACUGAAAAGCUGUACAAUUGCUUAUCUUUUUAUUGAUUGCCGACAAGCAACGGACAUGUCCAUUCGCUUAUUUGCUCGAGGUCUGGAUGAGUUGGGAUUAAUUUUUUUGAUUAGGACCCAGUCGAGCUUGUUUUUUCAUGAUUGUGACCGACACACAUGCCGAGCAAGGGUGGUGUCCAAUUCAAUCGCUUUCGUACAUUUACUUGUACAAAUAUUGCAUCGGAAAAGAAUGCUGGACAAAAACUCUUAGCAGCUUGUUAAAAUGUUUGCCAGGACAAGUUUCGCAGCUGAGCGAUUACUCACAAUCAAUUACAAAUUUCCUAUAAACCUCCGAAACAACUCCCCGCUGCUACGUUACUGACCAUUGCCCGCAACGGUCGGGUGCGUGUUGUUACACCCGCACGGUCAGCUAAUUUGUGGGGGCGAGUGAAAUCGUCCGCGAAUCCAGAGAAUUAAAAAUUUAUGAAAACUCGUGAGACCGUAUAAAACAGCGGUUCAACAAUGUAAAGAGAGUUGUAUGUCCAGGUUCACGUUUGUAAUCCUUAGCUCACACGCUCCUAAUUACUCUAACCUGACGGAUCGUGAAGAAUAUGAGCUCGAUUUUCAAUUGUCGUUUGAAUUCAUCCGAUAUUUUCCAGCCAAUUCGGCCGCGGUGGCCAGUCGAAUAAGAUGACAGGCGAGAUCCGGUUUGGCGUUUAGCUAGACUGGCAAUGGCUAUUUUAUCACUUUGUCAGCCAAAGUCCACAUUCGUCCAUUACUUUACCCCGUUGUUGGAAAGUAAACUCAAAAGAGGUGUCCUGCUAUUAUUUGUCAACGUUGUGUAUGUAGUGCGUAUCGAUCCGUUGAGUCGCGUUCCGAUGUUAUUCUACCCCGUUUCGGUUUCUCGUAUGUUUUGGGACAAUGGGAACCAGUUUAGGGUUGUUUAGGCUUCGGAAACAAAGCCGAGCGGGCGAAAUAUCGAAUUCACUUUUCACUUGCUGUAUAGGUGUAUUUAUACACUCGAAUUUGUUUGGCACUGUAAACUUUGAACCCGAUAAUGGAAUUUCCAUUUUCCAUCAACGCUUGAAUAUGGAUUAUUGGCAUUUUUUUUUUUUCAAGAUUUUUGAACGCAACGAAAUGCGUGCGCUCAUUUCCGCCGGUUGUAUGUGCCCGUGAAACAGAGAAAGAACCGUCACUACCGGUAUAUUUGGCUGCAAAUAUUUUUGCACACAUUUGUAAAGUAUUUAUAUCCCGCAUAAAUUUUUCGGAGGGGAAAGCUCGGUUCGGUCGAAUGCCUGGAGUUUUUCGAGCGAUAAAUUUCCUUCUUAAUCAUUUAAGUAGAUCUUGCGAAAAUUUUCACUGCGCGAAACUAUAUAGUUAUAUACAUUCAUUUGAUAAUUUCAUUUUUUUCUUUGUUUUUUUGCGACAGCUGUUUGUAAUCCCUGGGUAUUACGUCGAAACAACUGAGUUAUUUACAGGUGUAGUUAGCAAUAUUAUUAUACAUGAUAUUAUUCGGUUUGAUACUGGCCCUACUUAUUAUUCAUCGCACUCGUUCGUUAAACUGUCAAAAUAAAGUAAUCGGUGCUUUCGGGUUCUACAAAAUUUAUAGCAAGUAACGGAAAGAAAAAGGGAAAUGCGAAAACAAGAUAAAGAUUCGUCAGGCAAAUUAAUGAGAAUAUGGACGCAAUAACACCUUAAACCUUGUUAAGUCUUGCACCAUCCAGCUGAAGGAGAAAUUUCACGAUCUUAUUUUUUUAUUAUUCUCAUUUUGGAAGUUUCAAAUGAACUUCAGUGCAUGCCGUACGCACGUACGACAUAGGCACAUAAUCCAAUGAAAGUAAGUGAUAGUAUUUCGUUUGAAUCUUUCAAAGUAAUGGAUUGCAGUGUGCUUAAGUGCCUGGAAUCUCAAUUCACAGGAACUGAAGUACUUUUACAUUAUAAAAACUUUUAUACGAGUCAAGAAGAAAGAACUAGUAGAAGAUGUGAUAUAAGAAAGAUGGGGUCGUAAAAUAAUCUCUGAAACUUAGUUGAAUUAAUGUGAAUUUAUUUGAUUAUCUCACUGACUAUAUUGUAGUACAGGCUAGAUUUUUAUCGGGAAUAUUCUCAGACCAUAUUUACAUAUGGGGCUGAGUUGUCUAUUCCGAUAGUUUUUUUAACUUACGAAUGCAGGUAAAUUCAGAAAUUUGCACAUGGUAUCCUCGUCCCUGAAAUUCGUAUACAUUAUCGGUAAAAAUUCGAUGCACACAAUUAAAUUUUUAGACCGUAUGUCUUUCAUCUGAAAAAUGAAAUUAAAUUCUUUGCUAAGACCAUUCGACCUUGCUAAUGGAAGCAACUCAUAUUCAAAUGUGUUUGUACACCCUUUACCUAAUGUACUGCGUGAAAGCUCUGGCUUUAAAUAAAUGGUUUAUAAGGUUUUUGAAAAAUUUCGUAGUGGGCACUUGCAGUAAAAGCAUCGAUAAAGUAGAUUUAAAGUUACGAAACACCCGAGUGUACGCGGUUGAAGUAAUAGAGUUCAUCGCGUAGCAGUUAAAAAUUAACGUAAAAUCGUACCCCAAGUGAGGCCGUAGAACGACAUAACAUCAGGAGACUCUCGAAAUUUUAAAAGCGAUAUCGAGAUCAACGGUAGUCGUAUAACUUUGUCACUUUUUUCGCCCAUAUUGUGUAGUAGGUAUAGGUGCUGCAUUUGCCUGUAAAAAAUGAUAGAAUUUCGUGUUUCAAUAUCGACGAAACAAAUUCAGAAGAUUAGGGCGCGAUUAUCAAUAUAUUAUACUUUCAUAACUGAUGAUGAUUAAUCACCUGAUUGACAAGUCAUCAUUCAUUCAAUAAUCACAUCGUACACAUUAUACAUUCCAUGGAAAAUUAAUGACCGCUCUCGGAUUAUUUAUUAUAAAAUAUGUGUAACACAUUAUUAUUCUUAUCGAUCGACACACACGUUAAUCCCUCAUAAGUUUCAUACCUCCAGUUUCGAACUUUAACAUUCUCUGUCUUCUAUAGUUGAGCAGAUUUUUUUUCGUCGAUCCUAAUCUCAUAGAUUAUAAAAUGGAAAAGAGGUAGACUGUUCGCAAUUCAAAUUCUAUUAUAAUUUUACCGAUUUUCAUAGCAGUGAAGUAGUAUGCGCAGUGCGUCGGCUCCGCAGUCUGGGAAUACUAUAGGGCAUAACUCGUAGAAAAGUGAAGAUUGGACAGCUGGUUGAAAAAAAUGUUCGAGGUUCAGAUUAUAUUUUUUAUUCAAAUUUGGUAACUUGUUACGGAAAACUGGCGUAUCUGUUUAAAUUUCAUCUUCGUGUUCACUUUUCAGAGAUAGCUUUCAUGGUAUCUUUGUGAUCCGCACUUGUUUCGCACCUGUUUUCCCUGCUCGAGAGAUCCUUUAUCUAUGAAUAGGUGUGUUCCCUGAUUUUCGUUCCCUGUAUCAGAUUAUCAUAUUGAAUCUUGUCAUCGAAUCGAGUUACCUUUCUCCCAGUUCGACUAAUCGUAUCUUUCCGAGACAUCGAAUUUAUACGUUCAGCGUUACAUCCCUUUGCUGGAUAACCGGAUCACAUAUUCGGUAUAGGAUACUUGAAAAAUAAGUUCCUUUAACCGGGGCUUAUUUUUUGCAUCAACGCAGCAACGAGAAUACAAAAAUUCAGAUCACUUGUCGCGAGCGUAUGUUAUACAUGAAAAUUCAAAGGCUUCGGGGAAUCUCUUAGGAUCGAGCUUGAGUUCGUACAUAUUUUAUUCAUUUAUUCGAAGACGUUUUAACUGUUGGAAGAAAUGAAAUAUGAAAAUGAAUCAAGUGAAGGCCGCCCUGAUAUACUGUACACAACCUUGGGGCCUUCCACGCAAAAUCGACAUGGGUGUAAUCGUAAUUUUUUUUUUUCGAAUCAUUUAACAGUUGGUAACUGUUGAAAGUGUUCGUUUUAUAUAGGGGUAUUAAUCGUUUCUUAUUUUUAUCUAAACUGCAGGCAUCGUAAAUUCUUUGUUGAGAACAUUUUUUUCUACCCUUGUCAAAUCACGUACUACGAUCAUCUUUUCUCAUUCCAAGCGACUGCCAAAUCGUUACACGAUAUCCACUGAAUUAUACCUAUCAAUGAUUCAUCAGAUGUAAUGAUCAUGAUGGAUCGUCCACAUAAAAUGACACAAUUGACAAGUAGCGGCCAAUUUAAAAUCAAGAGGGCGACAAAUCAGGGAGUAAAUUAAAUGGCCUCAUUUAAAGGGGUAACGUCAUAACAUUAAUCUCACGUGAAUGUUAUCUUCCUCCGGUUUAACAUUUGAAAUUACGUUAGCGAGGUGGAGUAAAUCAAAAUUUCAGUUGUUAACCUUCGUAACACUUAUUAUAGUAUACUUACUGCAAAAGUAGAUUUAUUUUAAAACGUAAUAUGAAAUAUUGUUCCAGACGUUUUUACGUUACGUCUUAUUGUGUAUUUUUGGUUUAAACAGCAAGAGGUAUCUCGUUUUGCUGAUAUACGCUGAUAUUACUUUUAAUCGCACGGAGCAGCGGUAUACGCCAUGGCAUUUAUGAUGAGCCAUAAAAUUUGUUGCUAGCUCUUAUUCUACGUUACAGGGAAUUCUAUGCCAAAUCACGUAGACUGCAACUUUGACUAUUUUUCGUUCAUUUACAUCACGUCAGUUUUUCGAUUUACAUUAUAGUCUUUUUAAUCCCAAACUACAGAGGAAAAAUUUGAGACUGUGGUAUCAAUUGAAUGGAAACGGAACUCGAAUUCCGUUUCAUUUCAAUCUUUCAGAGAUCCAUAAACACCAGAGUGAAAACUUUCAGAGAUGCAGUUAUUUUCGUACUUUUAUUUUGCUACAUACGCCUUUGUUGUAUAUUCCCAAGGUGAAGGGUGUCGCCUCAUAUACACAUACGCCCCUAUGUCAUUAGGCGAGCAAAGCGAGCCUCUACUGGGUUAAAAUGCCACUUUUUGUGAUACACUUUACAAAAAACCUCAAAACUUUUGGACGUUAACUUAAUGUAAUUAUUCAUAUUUAUUUCUAGAUGUGUUAUCAAUCAUUAUUUUCGGAGAAAACGAUGCAAAUAGAUAAAAUAGUAUUUUUGUAAUUGAAAUGUACGUAGAAGUAUAUCUAUAUAUACAGCGGAAGUAACGCCAUCUGUAGGCGUCAUCAAGUAGCUUGUAGUCGUGAAAUAUACAGAUGCACAACAAUUUUUUUGUUAACGGGUGGUUGGAUUGUAUUUAAAAAUCCACCCUAAGACGCCUCGGGUAUUAGAAGCACAUUUUCAUUCAUAAAUCACUGCGGCCCUGUGUCAUUAGGCAAGCAAAGCGAGUCUCUACUGGGUUAAAAUACACAUACGCCCCUAUGUCAUUAGGCGAGCAAAGCGAGCCUCUACUGGGUUAAAAUACACAUACGCCCCUAUGUCAUUAGGCGAGCAAAGCGAGCCUCUACUGGGUUAAAAUGCCACUUUUUGUGAUACACUUUACAAAAAACCUCAAAACUUUCGGACGUUAACUUAACGUAAUUAUUCCUAUUUAUUUCUAGAUGUGUUAUCAAUCAUUAUUUUUGGAAAAAACGAUGCAAAUAGAUAAAAUAGUAUUUUUGUAAUUGAAAUGUACGUAUAAGUGUAUCUAUAUAUACAGCGGUAGUGACGCCAUCUGUAGGUGUCAUCAAGUAGCUUGUAGUCGUGAAAUAUACAGAUGUACAUACAACAAAUGUUUUUAAUAACGGGUGGUCGGAUUGUAUUUAAAAAUGCAUCUUAAGACGCCUCAGGUAUUAAAAGCAUAUUUGUAUCCAUAAAUCACAAGGUUUAACCUUAGAAAUAGCUGUUGUUGAUAUUGGAGAUCAAGAAACUUCCGUUGGUUCGACAUGUGUUGCUCUAUCAAGAGUCCAAACUUUAGAAGGUUCAGCAAUCAAUUAGAAAUUUUCUGUAUAACAGAUUUACAAGUAUACAAAAGCUCGCACAAUAUGUUGAUGUGUCGAAAACAGGAGGAAUGUCGAAUGAAGAAUUAUUUUUUUGGAUAGUAAAUAUUUUUCAACAACUGAAGCAUAUUUCAAUUUUAGGGAGAUGCAUUUCAAAUAACACAAUUCGCGACCCACUACAAAGUUGUACUUUCAGCUAGUUAUACAUACAUAGAGGUGCGAUUUAAUAAAAGGAAGCUCAAGGAAGCGAAGGUUUAAAAAGUAAAAGAUACAGUUUCGUUGGGAGGGUGCAGAUUCUUUGCGAAUCAUUAAUCAACAGCGAGUUGAGGCUGAUUUGGAUUCUGUCAAAUGCAGGUCUUUCGGAGCGAAAUGAAGUAAAAAAGUGAGAGGACUGAUUAUUUCCCCCAUUACUAACAUAAAUUAAAAACUCAUACAGUUAGAAUUAUUACACAGAAAUAUCAGAACGGAUAACGAGUGAGAACGACGAAAAUUCAAUGCUACGAAUGAUUUUAACGGCGAGAACGUUGAUUGAUUCGGCAAAACAGGCGUGUGAGUCGUUGAAAGAUUAAACAGCGUUGAAAAUAUUACAUUUGAUAGGACCAUUGAACAUGAGGUUACAAAAAUGUGGUAAUAGAAUUCGAUCUGAUACAAUUACGGUGAAAUUGGUUUUCUGGUCCUCUUGAAUAACAAUUUUAACGUUUGCUAAUAAUAAUAGCCGAUACAAAGCUACCGUUAUACACAAGAAAAUAAAUAAUAACGUUCAACGUUCAACAUAGAAAUAAAUACAUAAAUGAAACGAGUGGGUACAAGGCAAAAAAAAGAAAAAUGAUAAAAUGUGGAGCGAACGAAAGUGACGAUAAAAUGAUGACGUAUGAAUGAAAUCUCAAUCUUCAAUCAAUGUAUAUUAUCUGAUUAUUCGGCUGACACAUCUCAUUGUCAGUUAGUGUGUACAACAAUGUUCGGUGACAUCUCAGGUGGCGUCUUCUUCCCCCACCCUAUUUAUUUUGAACUUCGACGGUUUUAAUCGCGGUCGUAGGUCAAACGUGUAUUACAAAGCUACAUGUGAAACUUAACACACGUGGCCCCCGCAACAUCGUUAUCAUCACCAUCUGGAAGCUGCUGAAUUCGCCGGAGCCUAGUUAUUUUUUUCCAUUCGAGAAGUAUAUGCGGUGAGGAUAAAAAAUAACUUUGCACCCUUAAUACAUUUCGGCACGUGCAGGAUUCUUUCCCAUAAUUUUCGAUCCCAAGUAAAAAUGGAGCCAGUUUAUCAUCGUUCUUUCGUAUUAGGUAUACUCACAUUAUCAGGUCUGAAAAACCGCGCAGUGCACUCUAUUUUUUAGGCAUGAUGAAAUGUUGUCCAGAGGCAUAAAAUUAGUUUUAUCUCUAGGUAAGCGCAAAAGUCAUUUCUCCAGGGCCUAGGGUAUUAUUGGGUCGAUCCAUCAUUCCAGACAACCUUUAUACAAACCAAAAAAACUGAACUGGAAGUGGAAUAAAAAAAAUAUUAAGAAUAAUAUUUAAGAAAUGGAGAAAAAAAAAUAAACAGAGAACUUUUCCAGACGCGAUAAUUUGUUAACAAAAUCCAGGUGUCAUAUCUGUAUAUCGGCGUAGGGUUGCCAGGAUAUUUUCUUCUUUGUUAAAUAAUAAAAAAAAAGACCAAGGCCAAGCCGGUCUCGCCUUUGGGAGACACUCAUUUGUCAAGUGUCUGAUGUCCCAGCGUGAAGUUCAAACUCCCAACGCUCCUAAGAACUGAAGAAUAUACAGAGCUCUGAGCAGAGAAUACCAUGAGAGCACUGCUCAUUCACUCCCUGUUUGAAUAACAAAUAAAGCCGCUCAUCCCCAGCUGACGACAAAAAGAUAUUCUUGGAACAACAAUGAGAACUGAUUCGGUAAUUGUUUCUGGCGUCGGUAGUCGUUAAUUGCUUUCAAUGGCACGGGUUUUAAUUCUCAAGCAAUAUUAUGCAGUGAACUGGGGUCAUUUUGCGCGAGAAGGUCGGUAAUGGUCGGCCAUUAUCCUUAUUAAUAAUAUUAUUAUUGUGAUUAUUAUUGUUGUUGCUACCGGCGUGAGGCGCAGGGCGAUACUCCGAUGCAGGGAGGUACCCCAGGUUUCCCUGAGCCAAGGAGGAGACCGGGGCUACGAGUGGUACGUACAACUUCAGACGGAUGCAUGAGGUAUAACGAUACUCGGACAGACAGUCCUGGAAGACCAAGAGGAGCUUGAGCAUUUCUGAAAAUGUCGUGAUUCGAGCGCAUCAUGUACAGUAUUUGCGCGUACAAACGUAACGUCGACUAAUUCGGCGUCUACAAAACUCAGGGUGUACCAGAUUCGCAUGUGUUAAUGUCCACGAACGCAGUUCAGACGUGUACAAUCGGACCUUUUCCUACCCGUCGACCUCAAACUAUUACCCAAAGCUCUUUUUAUUCGGGAAGAUUAAAGUGUUUCGUUAGGCUCCAAAUGUAUAGUAGCGUGUGUUGGGUUGAGGUCGGCUGCCUCAAAAUCUGGGGCAAAGGGUGUUAUCAGAGGAGGGACGAACUCCUGAUGGCUUCAGUAAUUUCGUGGAGUUUUCGGCUUCGAAUAACUAUGUAGCGACCCGGAUGUGACGACGGUUCUGACCCGACGCUACUUUUUCUUGGUUAUUUCAUUUGUUUUUACGGUUCAAAUGACGUCGCACGGUUCAGCGAUCUGGGAUGAGAAUGAUACGUGCGAAUCUCCGGAUUUUAUAUGGAACCUUCGAGGCAUAAAGAAAAUUGAAAACCUCUAAUAUCCAAACUUUUGGUUCCGGGAUGUUCUAUUAAUACAUCCUUGUACAUCGACGAUGAUCAGCUGGUUCGGGUUUCACUUGGAAAACCAACGAUUUCGAAUGAUGCUAACAUAUGAGUUAUCGAACGAACAAUAUCGCUCCAAUUGUACGUGGCUAUUUCAUUCAAUUACCGCGAAAUGGCCGACGCGGAUUGGCCACCGCGAAAUCUGCCUAUAGUGGUAUGCAUGAGAUGGACAGUUCAUUGUGACGUCGAGCGACCACUACUUCUUUUUGUUCCUCUACCGCAUACUCGGGAAUUUUUCGAUUUGAUAUUCGUUUGAUCAUUCAUCGUUUCUUUUUUCAUAACUGGCUGAUUGUGGGUUGCAAUGAAGCAGUUUACACAAAACGCAGACAGAUUGGAAAACUAUAGCGACUCGAGCUAAAUUCGAUUUUUUCUUAGUUUUUGAAGCAGAACCAGAAAUUACCGGUUCUUCCACAUGCACGGUCGUCAAAGGAUGUGUGUAAAUAUCUGAUUGAAAUUUUAUCUAUCUCUAGUCAGAGUCUUUUUUCUACGGGAUGGACGCGCGGUGCGCAAAAAACUGAAUGAGUCUUGAAAACUGAAGAAAGUUUCGCGGGGUAAACUUGGAGGUAGAAGACCUAUAGCCCUCGACCUCCUCUACACGUAUAAGUUAUAGCUUUAUAACUUGAGGUAACCGAAGCUGGAAAGUAUGCGAUAAAGUAGCUUUGCUUGUACCAUAUACACCGUAUACCAUAUCACGCUGGCGAAACCUCUGCACGAGCGCAUAUUCGAACUGGUUCCAGGAGAUUGAAAAUUGUCGGUGAAACCUUUACGAGUCAAGUAUGAAAAGUUGCCGGAAAGUUUAUCGAGGAAGAAUUGAGGCGAUGUAGAGGGUGGGACGACGUCGUUUUUUCCAUCCGAGCAUCAACCUGCCGCCGCUGCAUCGCUGUCUACAAUCGACUGUGGUUUACUAGGAUCCUCGUAAGAUAGAAUACAAGUGUCACCUUCUCGUAGGUUCGAGAACCCGGUGCAAACACACCAUAAACGCGUUAUUUACUCAACUAAUAGUCCCUUCAUAGUCCUUCCAUAUACCUAGUCCCGGUUCAAUCCUCAGGGGUGCCUACAUGCUAGGACCAAAUCUGUAACUCCUCUCAUCCACGGGAGUUCAUCCGGAUUAUCAUAUAUUGAAAUCCGUUAGGGUUUUAACACCAUCAAAACUCCAAGUAUUGCCAACAGAGUUGACAGUAAUCCGGAUUCAUCCGUUUUUUCUUGCCGAACAAAAUAUGAUUCGGUCUCAAAAUACGGACCGUGUACGUAAUACAUUUUACACAAGGCCGCGGUAGUUUCACGAGCAUUUUUUCUUAAAAUCACGUUUUACUAUUUUACAAGUGAUUCGUUCAUUCAUUCGUCUUUUUACGUAUAUUAAAUAAAUACGUUAGACGCGAGGACUAAAUAUUAUUUACUUAUUUACGAAUUUUAUUGAACUUCGUCUGCAUGUGACACUCCGGAAUAAGCAACGAAGAUACCAUUGAAAUUCCGUGACGAUUGGUUGAAUAGUUUUUGAGAUUUUCGCGAAUAUACAUCAUAGGUUUCCUCUAUACAGGUAUAACAGUUAGGUGAGAAGUACAGAUAUACCUACCCCUUCGCGUGAUUUUGAACAAACAACAAUUACCUAUACGUCGUGGAAACAAGGGUCAGAAUUCGAGCGAGUAUGACGUGUGCAUCGAUACCUACGCGUAAUCAAAUAGGCGAUAGAACGAAUCUACGUGUCGCCUAGCGGAGCGAAGGAGGGGUGAGGUGGUGGUGGUGGUGGUGGUGAACUUGAUGAAUUAAUCGGUGCUUACACGCGGAGAGAUGCGUUAAUUUUUUUCAUUCCACGUCUUUGGGGUAGAAGAAGGAAAGGGUAAAAGUGGUCGCGUCUUUCUCUUUCAACCCUUCGUGUAUUAUACCUGUAUAUUUAUGCGCGUGGUUAUAUCCUUGCGAACCAAGCAACGUAAUUAUUCCAUGCCGGUACGAUAAGCAAAGAUAAGUAACCGCAAUCUAAAUUUGAAAUUGCCUAACCAAACGCGUUAACCCCUAAUUCGGAAAGUCUUCAUUUCUUGCAGGGGGCGUACAUCAGCAAAAAGGGGUAAGUUUUCUUCGUGAAUUCUCAAAAAUAUCUGGAACGUUAUACUUAAUUACGGCCACAGGAUUUAUACGUAUAUACGCCGCUCUGGUCUCCUGAUUUCUGAAUUUUCAACUCAUACUUUUCUUACUACCAGAGCGUGCAUUGAUAACAAGUAUCACAGACGAAACGCUUGAGGGACUCAGAAAAAAUACGGAAAUGAAGCCGAAUUCAUCCGAACAAUCUUGAAACAGUCAAUUGCGAACGUGUAGUUCGGUAUUCGGUCAUCGGAUAAUCUCGUACGUAGAUCCUUCUUUUCCGAAGCAGCGGCAGUAUGGUCGCAACAGCCGAAGGGACAUCGUCAGGAGCGACGUCGAUGGCAGCGCGUAGAAGAGAGGAAGAGAAAAAUACAUUGGGAUUUAUUCUUGACAGAUGUCAAAGUUGCCCAGUUCUUCGCAUUAUGGUUCAACUUUCAACUACUGUCCCUACGUUGUGCUGAAAAAUUCCUAUAAGGUACUUGGGGAUGCUGCCGCCGUAGCUGCCGUUUGCCCGGACUCCCCCUGUUCAUCAGGGGGAGU